ACUAACGCUGGCGGCGCGUCUUAACAUGCAGUCGUACGAGAACCCUGUGCUUGCAUAGGGGGGAGAGUGGCGAACGGGUGAGUAACACGUGGAUAAUCUGCCUUCAGGAUUGGGAUAACUGUGGGAAACCGCAGCUAAUACCGAAUAAGAUGGUAGCUGCACAUGCAGCAGCCAUUAAAGGUGGGGACCUUCGGGCCUACCACCUGAAGAUGAGUCCGCGUCCCAUUAGCUUGUUGGUGGGGUAACGGCCUACCAAGGCUGCGAUGGGUAGCCGGCCUGAGAGGGUGAACGGCCACAUUGGGACUGAGAUACGGCCCAGACUUCUACGGAAGGCAGCAGUUAAGAAUCUUGCGCAAUGGGCGAAAGCCUGACGCAGCGACGCCGCGUGGACGAUGAAGGCCUUCGGGUUGUAAAGUCCGGUAAACAGGGAAGAAUAAGUUUCGUUGAAUAAGCGGAACGAUGACGGUACCUGUCUAAAGCCCCGGCUAACUACGUGCCAGCAGCCGCGGUAAUACGUAUGGGGCGAGCGUUGUUCGGAAUUAUUGGGCAUAAAGGGCGUCUAGGCGGGGGACUAAGUUAGGUGUGAAAGCCAUGGGCUCAACCCGUGAAUUGCAUCUAAAACUGGUUCUCUUGAGUUCGGGAGAGGAGUGCGGAAUUCCUGGUGUAGCGGUGAAAUGCGUAGAUAUCAGGAAGAACACCAGUGGCGAAGGCGGCACUCUGGCCUAGAACUGACGCUGAAGCGCGAAAGCGUGGGGAGCGAACGGGAUUAGAUACCCCGGUAGUCCACGCCGUAAACGUUGUGUACUAG
rnacentral:rRNA from 1 species